rnacentral:rRNA from 1 species
GACGAACGCUGGCGGCGUGCUUAACACAUGCAAGUCGAACGGAAAGGCCCUGCUUUUGUGGGGUGCUCGAGUGGCGAACGGGUGAGUAACACGUGAGUAACCUGCCCUUGACUUUGGGAUAACUUCAGGAAACUGGGGCUAAUACCGGAUAGGAGCUCCUGCUGCAUGGUGGGGGUUGGAAAGUUUCGGCGGUUGGGGAUGGACUCGCGGCUUAUCAGCUUGUUGGUGGGGUAGUGGCUUACCAAGGCUUUGACGGGUAGCCGGCCUGAGAGGGUGACCGGGCACAGGGGAACGGAGCUAAGGGCCAGAAUGCUUGGGGCGGCAGCGGUGCGGAAGGUGUCACAACGGGCGGAAGCCUGCUGCAGCAAGGCGGAGAGCGGGAGUAAGGGAUUCGGGGGGUAAACCGCUCGCGGCGGAGACGAAGCGUAGGUGACGGUAAUGGGUAAAGAAGCACCGGCCAACUACGUG